AACGAACGCUGGCGGCAUGCCUAACACAUGCAAGUCGAACGAGACCUUCGGGUCUAGUGGCGCACGGGUGCGUAACGCGUGGGAACCUGCUCUUAGGUUCGGAAUAACUCCCCGAAAGGGGUGCUAAUACCGGAUAAUGUCUUCGGACCAAAGAUUUAUCGUCCUUGGAUGGGCUCGAGUUGGAUUAGCAGGUUGGUAGGGUAAAAGCAUACCAAGGCGACGAUCUAUAGCUGGUCUGAGAGGAAGAUCAGACACACUGGGGGUGAGACACGGCCCAGACUCUUACGGGAGGCAGCAGUGGGGAAUAUUGGACAAUGGGCGAAGGCAUGAUCCAGCAAUGCCGCGUGAGUGAUGAUGUCCGUAGGGUUGUAAAGCUCUUUUACCCGGGAUGAUAAUGACAGUACCGGGAGAAUAAGCUACGGCUAACUCCGUG
rnacentral:rRNA from 1 species